GUUCAAUAAACACCUAUACCCUAAAAUGAAUAUUUCCUGGACUGCAAACAAUUCUCCACCCAAAGACAUCUCUGGAUUCGCUUUUCAAAUUCCACCUCUUUUGAAACACAUUCCCCAAGUCCUGAAAACCAUUCGUCAUUCCAAACUGUAUUCACAUCUGGCUCCCAAAUGUCUCUCCUGAAACUGACCCUCAAGUUCUAUGAACACUUCUGCAUCCCAAAACUCUUUCCACAUCUGCUCACCAAACCCUACAGAGUCCAACAUAUUGCAAAUCAUUCUGCAUCCAAAGAAUCUCCAUUGCACCUUGAACCUAAUUCUUCCAAAUGGGAGGGUCUGGCUUCCAAUAAAUGGGAGGGGCCUUCCUCCAUGUGUCUCGUGUGUCUCCUGUAGUUUUCUCAUUACGAUGGUGUAUAUCCCUAGACAGGCGUGAUUAAUUUCAUAUAUUUUUUAUGCAUAUGUAGAAAUUAUACUAGUCUGUCUGUAUGAUGACCAAGAGGUCUACCUUACUAAUGGGUCCAUUAUUUCUAGAAUAUAACUUAAUGCAGUAUAAGCAAUGUUUCCUACAUAAGCCUAAAGGUGCAAGGUUUAGUAAUAUCUGCCCUUUUUAACCCCUUCAGGACCGGACUGUUUUUGUGAUGUGUGUACGUUAAGGACCAGGGCUAUUUUAACACUUUUGUGGUGUUUGUGUUUAGCUGUAAUUUUCCGCUCUCUCAUUUACUGUUCCGAUACAAACUAUAUAUUGGGCUUUCUUUACAUACUAUUUAUCAUGUCAUAUAAUUUAAUUUAAAAAAUAAAUAAA